GACGAACGCUGGCGGCGUGCUUAACACAUGCAAGUCGAACGGAAAGGCCCUGCUUUUGUGGGGUGCUCGAGUGGCGAACGGGUGAGUAACACGUGAGUAACCUGCCCUUGACUUUGGGAUAACUUCAGGAAACUGGGGCUAAUACCGGCUAGGAGCUCCUGCUGCAUGGUGGGGGUUGGAAAGUUUCGGCGGUUGGGGAUGGACUCGCGGCUUAUGAGCUUGAUGGUGGGGUAGUGGCUUACCAAGGCUUUGAAGGGUAGCCGGCCUGAGAGGCUGACCGGCCACAUUGGGACUGAGAUACGGCCCAGACGCCAACGGGAGGCAGCAGUGGGGAGGAUUGCACAAUGGGCGGAAGCCAGAUGCAGCAACGCCGCGUGCGGGAUGACGGCCUUCGGGUUGUAAACCACUGUCGCCUGUGACGAAGCGUGAGUGACGGUAAUGGGUAAAGAAGCACCGGCUAACUACGUG
rnacentral:rRNA from 1 species